UUAAGAUAUAAUGGCGUAAUCUGUCGAACCGUGUCAGGAUGGAAACAUAGCAGCACUAAGGCAACCUUUACGGGUGUUGUAUUUUUAAGA
rnacentral:SRP_RNA from 1 species